rnacentral:misc_RNA from 1 species
UUGAAAACAAAUGGUUAUCCAUUUAAUCCGGUGAACCUGUUUUUAUUUUUUUAAACGAUGAUUUCUGCUUGGUAGGUUUUUUUUCCUCCCUGAAAAUGGGAGGAACCUGCCAUCGGUCAUCGUUUAUUAUAUAUAUACCCUUUUUUAUUUUUAACAAAAAGUCUGAAAAUAUUUAUUUAAAACAAUAUUA